AUGGCUUGGACUGUGUUCCUCCUCACCCUCCUCACUCAGGCCACAGGUUCCUGGGCCCAGUCUGCUCUGACUCAGCCUUCCUCAGUGUCUGGGACUCUGGGACAGUCAGUCACUAUCUCCUGUGCUGGGACCAGCAAUGACAUUGGGGGUUAUAACCUUGUGUCCUGGUACCAGCGGCUCGCAGACUCACCAUACAAGCUUCUGAUUUAUGAUGUCAGUUCCCGGCCCUCAGGGAUCCCUGAUCGCUUCUCUCGCUCCAAAUCAGGCAACACGGCCACCUUGACCAUCUCUUGUCUCAAGCCUGAGGAUGAGGCUGAGUAUUACUGUGGCUCAUACAGAAGUGGUUUUGCUUACCACAGUGGUCCACGUGUCAGUGUGAUGGAGGACAAGAAUAGAAAGCCUGGAAUGGAGGCAUCCCAAGACGAGAACCUGACCUACAAGGAGGUGGGGGUAGAGGAAAAUAACAUGACCAUUAACCCAGCCAUAGAUGUCAGCCCCUCAGUCACCAGUGCCUUAUCCUAA